rnacentral:rRNA from 1 species
UACGUAGGGGGCAAGCGUUGUCCGGAUUUAUUGGGCGUAAAGAGCGUGUAGGCGGCCAAACAGGUCAGCUGUGAAAACUCGAGGCUCAACCUCGAGACGUCGGUUGAAACCGUUUGGCUAGAGUCCGGAAGAGGAGAGUGGAAUUCCCGGGUGUGAGCGGUGAAAUGCGCAGAUAUCGGGAAGAACACCCGUGGCGAAGGCGGCUCUCUGGGACGGUACUGACGCUGAGACGCGAAAGCGUGGGGAGCGAACAGG